UGUCCACGAUCUGAAGAUUGUUAGAAAAUCUCAAGAAUUAUCCGAAUGACUAAGUAAGUUGGGAACCUAGGGUCAAGUUCUAUCCAGGAUUGCUCAUAUAAGCCGUCGGACAUUGUCGGUCAGCUUCUGACUUUGAAAUCGGAAGCCGAUUGAGGUGAAAAUCAAAUAGAGACUGAUCUCGUAGUGCUAUCUUGUCUCAAGAGGCAG
rnacentral:lncRNA from 1 species